rnacentral:rRNA from 1 species
UACGUAGGGGGCAAGCGUUGUCCGGAUUUAUUGGGCGUAAAGAGCGUGUAGGCGGCUUUACAGGUCCGUUGUGAAAACUCGAGGCUCAACCUCGAGACGCCGGUGGAAACCGUAAAGCUAGAGUCCGGAAGAGGAGAGUGGAAUUCCCGGUGUAGCGGUGAAAUGCGCAGAUAUCGGGAGGAACACCAAUGGCGAAGGCAGCUCGCUGGGACGUUACUGACGCUGAGACGCGAAAGCGUGGGGAGCAAACAGG